rnacentral:tRNA from 1 species
GGAGGGAUUCCCGAGUGGCUAAAGGGGGCAGACUGUAAAUCUGUUGGCACCGCCUUCGCUGGUUCGAAUCCAGCUCCCUCCA